UACGGAGGGUGCAAGCGUUAUCCGGAAUCACUGGGUUUAAAGGGUGCGUAGGCGGCUAGAUAAGUCAGAGGUGAAAGGUUGCAGCUUAACUGUGAGACGGCCUUUGAUACUGUCUAGCUUGAAUCAGAUAGAGGUUAGUGGAAUGCGACAUGUAGCGGUGAAAUGCUUAGAUAUGUCGUGGAAUACCGAUUGCGAAGGCA
rnacentral:rRNA from 1 species